rnacentral:rRNA from 1 species
GAUGAACGCUGGCGGCGUGCCUAAUACAUGCAAGUCGAGCGAACAGACGAGGAGCUUGCUCCUCUGACGUUAGCGGCGGACGGGUGAGUAACACGUGGAUAACCUACCUAUAAGACUGGGAUAACUUCGGGAAACCGGAGCUAAUACCGGAUAAUAUAUUGAACCGCAUGGUUCAAUAGUGAAAGACGGUUUUGCUGUCACUUAUAGAUGGAUCCGCGCCGCAUUAGCUAGUUGGUAAGGUAACGGCUUACCAAGGCAACGAUGCGUAGCCGACCUGAGAGGGGGAUCGGCCACACUGGAACUGAGACACGGUCCAGACUCCUACGGGAGGCAGCAGUAGGGAAUCUUCCGCAAUGGGCGAAAGCUUGACGGAGCAACGCCGCGUGAGUGAUGAAGGUCUUCGGAUCGUAAAACUCUGUUAUUAGGGAAGAACAAAUGUGUAAGUAACUAUGCACGUCUUGACGGGACCUAAUCAGAAAGCCACGGCGAACUACGU